ensembl:snoRNA SNORD42 Small nucleolar RNA SNORD42
GUGCAUAUGAUGGAAAAACUUUUAAGCUGAGACUUGUGAUGUCUCCAAAGGAACCACUGAUGCAC